UGCCCCAUGGCUGAGUUGGUUACAGCGUCCGACUGUUAUUCUCCCUCACAGGUGAAAGAUAUCGGAAGGUCGUGAGUUCGAGCCUCACUGGGGCAG